AGCUACGUGCACGGAGCCCCGCCUGCACAACCACACUCGGUGAUGGUAAAUGAAGACGCAGCUCCAUCAUUUUCCCCCAUCCUCAUUAUUUUCACCUGGACACCACACAGAAGCGUUUGUGUGUGAUGUUCAACACUAGGAAACUGAAAAACAUCGCCUAAUUGCAUGGCGAGCAGUCACGACAGCGCGCAGCCCAUGGGGUCAGGACCGGCCGUCCAGUAGUGUAAACUGUCCUCCGUGCCACGAGCAUUUCCUCCCCAAAGAGAAACUGUUAAAACCUUAAUUGAGAGGUCAGCGGUCUCAGGACAGGCAGGAGAUAAGCUGCUAGCUAUGUGAAGUCAUGUCAACUUUGAUCGGCCAGGACUUUUGGCAUCGAAAGAAAGCCCACGAUGAGUCAGAGACCCUCUAAUCUUCUCUGAGAUAAGCUGAAGCUGUUGGGCUGGGGUCGACGGUCCAGGGCAGGGAAAGGCUUUUCUCUGUGCGCUGUGGCCACACUUAUGAGUGAAUCCAUUUUAGCCUGACAUCCCUGCCAACGUCUGUAACCACGCUCCCAAAUGGGGAGGUGACCUGUUCGAGGGGGGCUUGUUCCAAGGAAGAGUCUACAGAGGUUGCCACCAUCACGUUCUCAGGGACUGCCUUGGAAGAUGUCCAGUGAAUGGAUCAGCAGAGAGAGCUGGUCAGAACACUACAAGACCGGAAGUGAAGGAGGGAGGGAGGGAGAGAAAGAGGGAAGAGAAGGAAUUGAAGGAUUGAGUUAUUCUGACUCUCUGUGCCAUGCCAAGUGUAUGAAAAUAGAAACAAUGUUACAUUGAAAAGACAUGUCAAAAUUAAAAAGCAAUGCAGGAUGGAGGGGAGGGAGGUCUCAAGACUUUCAAAAUGUA